rnacentral:rRNA from 1 species
UACGGAGGGGGCUAGCGUUGCUCGGAAUCACUGGGCGUAAAGGGUGCGUAGGCGGGUCUUUAAGUCAGGGGCGAAAUCCUGGAGCUCAACUCCAGAACUGCCUUUGAUACUGAGGAUCUUGAGUUCGGGAGAGGUGAGUGGAACUGCGAGUGUAGAGGUGAAAUUCGUAGAUAUUCGCAAGAACACCAGUGGCGAAGGCGACUCACUGGACACGUAUUGACGCUGAGGUGCGAAAGCGUGGGGAGCAAACAGG